GACGAACGCUGGCGGCGUGCCUAAUACAUGCAAGUAGAACGCUGAAGAGAGGAGCUUGCUCUUCUUGGAAGAGUUGCGAACGGGUGAGUAACGCGUAGGUAACCUGCCUUGUAGCGGGGGAUAACUAUUGGAAACGAUAGCUAAUACCGCAUAACAAUGGGUGACCCAUGUCAUUCAUUUGAAAGGGGCAACUGCUCCACUACAGGAUGGACCUGCGUUGUAUUAGCUAGUAGGUGAGGUAACGGCUCACCUAGGCGACGAUACAUAGCCGACCUGAGAGGGUGAUCGGCCACACUGGGACUGAAACACGGCCCAGACUCCUACGGGAGGCAGCAGUAGGGAAUCUUCGGCAAUGGGGGCAACCCUGACCGAGCAACGCCGCGUGAGUGAAGAAGGUUUUCGGAUCGUAAAGCUCUGUUGUAAGUCAAGAACGAGUGUGAGAGUGGAAAGUUCACACUGUGACGGUAGCUUACCAGAAAGGGACGGCUAACUACGUGCCAGCAGCCGCGGUAAUACGUAGGUCCCGAGCGUUGUCCGGAUUUAUUGGGCGUAAAGCGAGCGCAGGCGGUUUGAUAAGUCUGAAGUUAAAGGCUGUGGCUCAACCAUAGUUCGCUUUGGAAAACUGUCAAACUUGAGUGCAGAAGGGGAGAGUGGAAUUCCAUGUGUAGCGGUGAAAUGCGUAGAUAUAUGGAGGAACACCGGUGGCGAAAGCG
rnacentral:rRNA from 1 species